GGGGACUUAGCUCAGUUGGGAGAGCGCCUGCCUUGCAAGCAGGAGGUCAGGAGUUCGAAUCUCCUAGUCUCCA
rnacentral:tRNA from 1 species